CUAAAUUCAUCAUCACUCUUAAUAUUUCUGUGGGAAUAAGCCUAACAGCACCAUACAACCCAGAUCUCACAUAACCCAUUUUCAGGAUUAUGGCUACAAAUAUUUCUAUCAACAUGUGUCUGUUACUAAUUUUCACUUAGUACCAAACUCUAUACAUGUCUAGUCAACCUUCAGUUAAUCUAAUUGUUCAUUCAGAAAGCAUGUAACUCACUGAUCAGCUGUUACAUUCCUGAACAUUG
rnacentral:lncRNA from 1 species